rnacentral:rRNA from 1 species
AUUGAACGCUGGCGGCAGGCCUAACACAUGCAAGUCGAGCGGAUGAAGGGAGCUUGCUCCUGGAUUCAGCGGCGGACGGGUGAGUAAUGCCUAGGAAUCUGCCUGGUAGUGGGGGAUAACGUCCGGAGACGGGCGCUAAUACCGCAUACGUCCUGAGGGAGAAAGUGGGGGAUCUUCGGACCUCACGCUAUCAGAUGAGCCUAGGUCGGAUUAGCUAGUUGGUGGGGUAAAGGCCUACCAAGGCGACGAUCCGUAACUGGUCUGAGAGGAUGAUCAGUCACACUGGAAGUGAGACACGGUCCAGACUCCUACGGGAGGCAGCAGUGGGGAAUAUUGGACAAUGGGCGAAAGCCUGAUCCAGCCAUGCCGCGUGUGUGAAGAAGGUCUUCGGAUUGUAAAGCACUUUAAGUUGGGAGGAAGGGCAGUAAGUUAACACCUUGCUGUUUUGACGGUACCAACAGAAUAAGCACCGGCUAACUUCGUG